GUUAAAAUUGUAUUUGAAGCUUUUCAUUUCUUAUUUUUGUUGGCUUUUUUGUAAGACAUGUGUUCUACUGUGGUUUAAAGGUAAAUUUGGGAUUCUAUAAGAAUUAAGUGUAGAUUUAUAAUGAAGUGUACAUUUGUUAUAUUCAAUUCAAUAGGCUAUAUAGUUAUGACAUUUGUUGCGAUCCAAUUCAAUAGGCUAUAUAAUACAGUCAUGACAUUUGUUAGCUACCAAAUCAGUAAUCGAGAAGGGAUGUAAUACUUCUUAAUAUAUAGUGAAGUGCCAAGGAGCUUAUCUUCCCACUUGAUUAAUCUCAAGGUCUAGUCUUGUGAAUGGAGAUAACAGCAAUGGAUAGUUUGUUGUGGCAUGAUGGGAGAACUUUGUCAUCUUAAGUGGUUUGACUUGGUUUGACUUAUAUUAGUUGGAGUUUGAUGUUGUGACUUGAUGUAUAUAUUUAUGGCUAUUACUUUGGCCAAAUUGAUUACAAUUAUUUAAAUUUAUGUGUGUUGGGAAUUUUAGUGUAAUCUGUGCCUGUUACCCGUGGAUGUAUGUGGAGAAUUGGCAAUUUGUUGUUUCUUGCAAAACUUA